rnacentral:pre_miRNA from 1 species
AAGCUCAGGAGGGAUAGCGCCAUGGCGGGUCUUGAAUCUUGAUCUUCAUUUGCGCUAUCCAUCCUGAGUUUCA